rnacentral:rRNA from 1 species
GACGAACGCUGGCGGCGUGCUUAACACAUGCAAGUCGAACGGAAAGGCCCUGCUUUUGUGGGGUGCUCGAGUGGCGAACGGGUGAGUAACACGUGAGUAACCUGCCCUUGACUUUGGGAUAACUUCAGGAAACUGGGGCUAAUACCGGAUAGGAGCUCCUGCUGCAUGGUGGGGGUUGGAAAGUUUCGGCGGUUGGGGAUGGACUCGCGGCUUAUCAGCUUGUUGGUGGGGUAGUGGCUUACCAAGGCUUUGACGGGUAGCCGGCCUGAGAGGGUGACCGGCCACAGUGGGGCUGAGAUACGGCCCAGACUCCUACGGGAGGCAGCAGUGGGGAAUAUUGCACAAUGGGCGGAAGCCUGAUGCAGCAACGCCGCGUGCGGGAUGACGGCCUUCGGGUUGUAAACCGCUUUCGCCUGUGACGAAGCGUGAGUGACGGUAAUGGGUAAAGAAGCACCGGCUAACUACGU